rnacentral:lncRNA from 1 species
CAGACAGGGCGUCCGCAUAAAUGGGGAGGCCAUCCCGGGUUUCCUCCGUCCCAAGCCCGGCGGCGAUCGGGCUCCCGAAGGGCCGCCCCCCCCCGCCCCCGUCUCUCUCCGCAUCCCUCCACAAACACGCGCGGCCGCUCCCCAGGUUCGCCGAGAGCUCCGUGCCCGGACCCCGCAGCCGGGAGCCGGGCUGCGCUGCUCCCCCCUACACCCGCCCAGCGAGGAGCCUCCCCCGCAUCCUGGGCACCUCCGGAGAGAGUCGCGAGUUGGGAAGAAGCUCGGGGCUCGCUCUCUAACCGGGGGGAAGGCGGGGAAAUGGUCCAGGGGCAGGAGGAGGGGAAAGGGGGCACGUAGGCUCGGUCCGAAGCCCCGCCGGCCGAGGGAGCCGCUCCCGCUCCUCCACAUCGGAACCGGGUCAGCCAGAAUGGGGACCCGGGGCCCGAGCCCGCCGGGCGGGACGUCUGGAUCCCCCCGAACGCCGCCCGCCCUUUAGCCGGGGUCUCACGCCGUGCACAGAGGAGCGCGGUCUGAUCCUGGGCCAAACUUCCUCUCCUGGCAGAGGAAGGCGCCCGCUGGCGAUCCCGCGGGACCCUCCGAACGUCGGGGCUCUGCCCCCGGCCGCGACGGCUCUGGCACACACACACACACACACACACACACAGGGCCAGCUCUGGGACGCAGACCCACAGCCGCCCGCCCCCCGAGGACCCCUGUCCUGCGCUCUGCUCCCGAUCUCGGGGAAGCACCGAGCGGGCCGGGUCCGGUUCGCGGGCCGGAGGGUUCCUGGAGCCGCCGCCGCCCGCUGGGAUCGGAAGCCGCACGUGAGCCUCCCCCUCCGUGCCAGCGCGCAGUGGUGCGGUCCGCUGCGUGCCGGGCAUAAGGAUGUGGCAGAAGGCAUCCUGGGCUGGGAACAGGAGAAACAGCAGUCACUGAAAACGGUACCAGGGAAACCAGGGAAACGGACAGAAGGAAACCACACAAAGCUGGAGGCAAAUGAUGCUGGGGCAUCAUGGUCAAGCUGGAGAUGUUUCUAAGAGGAAGAGGGAGGGUGAGCGUAGCCUGCCUGCGACAACUGUGCUGAUGGGGGCUGGAGACCACAGACUUGGGGAUUCUCAGAGCUUCGUGGCUAAUAUACGGGAUUAUUUACCCUCUAAGGGAAGAGGGAGGGGGAAAGUUGGAUCACAAGACUUUGCAAGGGUGAAUGUUGAAAUUAUUUAUUCAGGUGUUUUGAAAAUUAAAAAAAAAAAAGCUUUAAUAAAGAAAUUUUUAAAAGGAAAAAUAAAAGAAUUAUCAGUGCUA